GUGGGGAAUCUUCCGCAAUGGACGAAAGUCUGACGGAGCGACGCCGCGUGAGUGAAGAAGGCCUUCGGGUCGUAAAGCUCUGUCAUCAGGGACGAACGGCCGGUGGAGUGGAAAGCCACCGGAUUGACGGUACCUGAGAAGGAAGCCACGGCUAACUACGUGCCAGCAGCCGCGGUAAUACGUAGGUGGCAAGCGUUGUCCGGAAUUAUUGGGCGUAAAGCGCGCGCAGGUGGGAUCUUAAGUCCAUUUUGAAAGUUCGGAGCUCAACUCCGUGAUGGGAUGGAAACUGGGAUUCUUGAGUACCGGAGAGGAAAGCGGAAUUCCCCGUGUAGCGGUGAAAUGCGUAGAUAUGGGGAGGAACACCAGUGGCGAAGGCGGCUUUCUGGACGGUGUCUGACACUGAGGCGCGAAAGCUAGGGGAGCGAACGGGAUUAGAAACCCCAGUAGCC
rnacentral:rRNA from 1 species